GUUGGAUUAGCUUGCAGGAUAGCAAGGAUGGUCAUGCUGGCCUGAGGGAGAAGAACAGCUGCAGAUGGGGGCUGUGAGGAGAUAUGGAGAGAAGCUUAGUCAUAUUGAGAAAAACUCCUCACUUUGAAGAUCUUGUUUGAAGGGCUGAUGGAGAAAUGCCCUGAAAUUAAACAUGUUUUCAGUUUCAGAGAACAAAGAGGGGAAGCACACAGACUGGAGAAAGAUUCUCUCAUGCAUGAGAGGGUAAAGGAUGCUUUGACUCACCUGAGAUCCUUAGAAAAGUUAAAAAAGAAAGG